CUGUCUUCUCUGAACACACGUUUCGGCCUCAGUACACUGAAGAUCUAAGAAAACACUUCACACCCUACAACCCCUAAAAAUAACCCAGAUUUGACAGCAGUGCACACCCAUCUGAGGCCGACCUGUUUUACUUCAUGAUCACCCCAGAUACUUCUACAACUAACCCGCUUUUGUGCAUCUUCAAGACAUGAAUGACGAUAUUAACCCCAAAACUCUGACACCCAAGAAACCAUAAAAUAAAUCCAUAGG